AUGAAUGCUGGCGGCGUGCCUAACACAUGCAAGUCGAGCGGCAGCGAGGGGUGCUUGCACCCUGUCGGCGAGCGGCGAACGGCUGAGUAACGCGUAGGAAUUUGCCCCAAAGUGAGGAAUAACUGCCCGAAAGGGUAGCUAAUGCCGCAUAUGGUCUUCGGAUUAAAGGAUUUAUCCGCUUUGGGAGAAGCCUGCGUUGGAUUAGGUUGUUGGUAGGGUAAUGGCCUACCAAGCCGACGAUCCAUAGCUGGUCUGAGAGGAUGAUCAGCCAGACUGGAACUGAGACACGGUCCAGACUCCUACGGGAGGCAGCAGUGAGGAAUCUUCCACAAUGGGCGAAAGCCUGAUGGAGCAACGCCGCGUGAAGGAUGAAGGCCUUCGGGUUGUAAACUUCUUUUAUGAGUGAAGAAUAUGACGGUAACUCGUGAAUAAGCACCGGCUAACUACGUG
rnacentral:rRNA from 1 species